rnacentral:rRNA from 1 species
UACGAAGGGUGCAAGCGUUACUCGGAAUUACUGGGCGUAAAGCGUGCGUAGGUGGUUUGUUAAGUCUGAUGUGAAAGCCCUGGGCUCAACCUGGGAAUGGCAUUGGAUACUGGCGAGCUAGAGUGCGGUAGAGGGUAGUGGAAUUCCCGGUGUAGCAGUGAAAUGCGCAGAGAUCAGGAGGAACACCCGUAGCGAAGGCGGCACUCUGGGCCGAUACUGACACUGAGGAGCGAAAGCGUGGGGAGCGAACAGG